AGUGAACGCUGGCGGCGUGCCUAACACAUGCAAGUCGAACGCGAAAGUCCCGCAAGGGAUGAGUAGAGUGGCAGACGGGUGAGUAAUGCAUAGGUAAUCUACCCUUGAGUGAGGGACAACUGAUCGAAAGGUCAGCUAAUCCCGCAUGACAUUGCUUCACAUAAGUGAGGUAAUUAAAGAGGGGGCUCCUUCGGGACCUCUUGCUUAAGGAUGAGCUUAUGUCCUAUUAGCUAGUUGGUGGGGUAAUGGCCUACCAAGGCUCUGAUGGGUAGCCGAGCUUAGAGGCUGAUCGGCCACACUGGAACUGCGACACGGUCCAGACUCCUACGGGUGGCAG
rnacentral:rRNA from 1 species